AUAAGAAAUAAAAGCACCGCAUCCGCCAACAACGCUACCUAACGGCACCUUCAUUUGAUACAAGCGUGUCAGCUGAACGACAGAGCUGUAUCUCUCCCAGUGCAGACAGCUCAUGUGUGUAUAUGCUGUAAUAUCUCAGCAGAGCAUCCUAUAGCCAAACACAGCAACUGAUCUCCCUCUUUGUAACGCAGACAGACGGCGAAAAGACUUCUGCUUCGUUUGUUUUUUUUUUUAAAAGUGCAAAUAAAACACACGGAUGUGUUUUAUUUUUGUCAGCAAAACCAACACACCGUCGAGUAUCCGUCCUGAAUACUUUUUUGUACCAGUUUACUUGUCGAAAACGAAUGAAUUCAACAUCCUCUAAACUUCUGCCACAGAACCUCCCUUUGCCUCAGCCUCUGUCCGGCGCGACAAGACAGUGAAGACACAGAUGGGAUUCACUUACAAUGGAGAUCCGAUGCCUUUUCACCAAGUGGCUCCCCUUCAUUUUGUCAUUGGCACUCUGAAUGGCAUUAAACCAGACUGCCUUCUCUCUUUUGUGAUGGAAGCUCAUUGAUCUGCUCUCUCUGCCUGUCUCUUGCUCUCACACUGUCGCUGGGAUCGGUGAGGAAACAUCCCAGCACCUGUCACGAACCACCCCGGGGGUGGGCACUAAACACGCUCCUCAUUGGAACAGCGAGGAGAAGAGGCCACUUCCGAUCCUGACACCCACUGAGGGUGCCCCCCCACGCCACAGCCCGCCCACGCCGACAGCUAUUCUACCUCGUUGGAAGACAGUUCAGAAUGAACUAGUGAGAAACCCAGACCCAAGCUCCUUCAUAAUAACGAUAAUAUUGCAGGGAAGAGUCGGGAUUCCUGGAAGGAGAACAGAGCAGCCUCCCUCUCUCGGCUGCGGCUCUCCUGUUCUCAGGGUCCGCAGGCCUGCUGCCUGCCCUGCUGGUGGCCCUCUCUGGGGGUGUGGGCAGUACCGGUCCAGGGGGAGGGAGGCACACAAGCAGACAGGCUGCCAACUUGCCACGAGCACAAGGAUGCCACCGCGAUACCCAGUCAGCUCCUGAGAGGGACACAAACUGACAGGCAUCGAACACUUGGUGGCUGGGGGGAUAGGAUACGCUACUCCUCCCACGCUACAUUUCCUGUGUGGCUCAGAGGCUUUUUUCACACUGAAAGGAAGAGCAAAAGAGAGACACAGAGAGAGAGAGAAUGAGAACAGUUUCUCGCCGGAGACUGAAACCAUUUAGUCUGUGAUGAAGAACACAGCUGGAGCAAAACUUGCAGACAAUGUUCCUCCAGAAUCACGACUGGGAAUCCCUAUCAUAGGAGAAGGGCAUUGCGUCCUC